AUACAACUCCAUAAUUGCUAAAAAAAAAAGGGGAAAUAUGGUCAAAAUUGUCAAGUUUGAUAAUGUUAAGAUUAUCUUUCUUUUCAUAUUUCUUUUUGUAAUGAGGGUUGAAGGUAAGUGUUUUUUUUAUCUUUUUCAAAUGUUAUUUUUUGCUUUAUUUUAUCACAUUAUUAUAAUAACAUUCUCCUUAUUCAUUACAGCGAAAUAUAUUACAUAUCAUGUUCCAUGUAUUCUCCAUAUUGAUUGUUCAAUAAACAUGUGUAAGCCUCCUUUUCAACGUUGUUGUUUUGAAAGAGCGUGUGUAUGUCGUUUAUGGUAAAUGAUAGAUUCUAUGAGUACCAUAUCAUUGAAAUUUGAAAGUACAUAGACACACAUCUAGAAUAUUAUGUGAGUUGUCAUUUAAUUAUUGUGUUAACAUCCAAUAAAUUAUUUUUUCCCUAAUUUUACAAUCUUGUGAUUAUGACUUUGUGUUUUAAGAUGAAGAUAAUAAAAGAAGGUAGGUAGCAAUUAUGUAAAUAAAUUAUCUUAUUCUCUCUUAAUUUCCA
rnacentral:lncRNA from 1 species